AGAGUUUGAUCCUGGCUCAGAACAAACGCUGGCGGCGUGUCUUAAGCAUGCAAGUCGAGCGGCAAGGGCAGCAAUGCCCCUAGAGCGGCGGACUGGUGAGUAACGCGUGGGUGAUCUACCUUGGGCAUGGGGAUAGCCCAUUAGAAAUAGUGGGUAAUACCGAAUACGUUCGUUACCGUGAGGGUAACGAGGAAAGGCGCUACGGCGCCGGCCUGGAGAUGAGCUUGCGUCUGAUUAGCUAGUUGGUGAGGUAAUGGCUCACCAAGGCGAUGAUCGGUAGCCGGCCUGAGAGGGUGUACGGCCACACUGGGACUGAGAUACGGCCCAGACUCCUACGGGAGGCAGCAGCUAAGAAUAUUCCGCAAUGGACGAAAGUCUGACGGAGCGACGCCGCGUGGAUGAUGAAGGCCGAAAGGUUGUAAAGUCCUUUUGCUGGGGAAGAAUAAGCGUGGGAGGGAAUGCCCGCGUGAUGACAUGAACCGGCGAAUAAGCCCCGGCUAACUACGUGCCAGCCGCCGCGGU
rnacentral:rRNA from 1 species